GAGAAUGGAGAAAUGUUGGUGGUUGAGAACGAGAUUGGGGGAAAGAGAAUAGAGGAAAUGAUAAAUAGAAGUCCGACUGGAGUUACCUCGACUUGCCGGAGUACUGGAGUUACCUCGACGCGCCGGACUGGAGUUACCUCGACGCCGCUGAAAUGUUGGUGUAGUUGACCGAGAACGCCGUUGGUGGUUGAUGGAGAAAUGUUGGUGGUUAAGAACAAGAUUGGGGGAUAGAGAUUGGAGGAAAUGAUAUUGGGGGGAAUGAGAUUGGGGGGAAUGAAAAAAAAUGAGGGAAAUGAUAUUGGGGAAAAUGAAAUAGGGGGAAUGAAAUAGUUAAAGGGAGGGAAAUGAAAAUUAUUAAAUAAUUGCUAUUUGUAACGGAAUAUCCGUUAAAAAUAGUUAAAAAA
rnacentral:lncRNA from 1 species